rnacentral:rRNA from 1 species
AUUGAACGCUGGCGGCAGGCCUAACACAUGCAAGUCGAACGAGUGGCGGACGGGUGAGUAAUGUCUGGGAAACUGCCUGAUGGAGGGGGAUAACUACUGGAAACGGUAGCUAAUACCGCAUACCAUCAGAUGUUCCCAGAUGGGAUUAGCUAGUAGGUGGGGUAACGGCUAACCUAGUCGACGAUCCCUACCUUGUCUGAGAGGAUAACCAGCCACACUGGAACUGAGACACGGUCCAGACUCCGACGGGAGGCAGCAGUGGGGAAUAUUGCACAAUGGGCGCAAGCCUGAUGCAGCCAUGCCGCGUGUAUGAAGAAGGCCUUCGGGUUGUAAAGUACUUUCAGCGGGGAGGCGUUACCCGAAGAAGAAGCACCGGCUAACUCCGUGCCAGCAGCCGCGGUAAUAC